ACACAAGCUGCGUGACGCGGACGUAGCCUUCGGGAACCAGUCCGUCUGAAACGGCAGCCCGAAGGCGCA
rnacentral:sRNA from 1 species